rnacentral:rRNA from 1 species
GACGAACGCUGGCGGCGUGCUUAACACAUGCAAGUCGAACGAAGAGCGAUGGAAGCUUGCUUCUCUCAAUCUUAGUGGCGAACGGGUGAGUAACGCGUAAUCAACCUGCCCUUCAGAGGGGGACAACAGUUGGAAACGACUGCUAAUACCGCAUACGAUCUGACCUCGGCAUCGAGGAUAGAUGAAAGGUGGCCUCUACAUGUAAGCUAUCACUGAAGGAGGGGAUUGCGUCUGAUUAGCUAGUUGGAGGGGUAACGGCCCACCAAGGCGAUGAUCAGUAGCCGGUCUGAGAGGAUGAACGGCCACAUUGGGACUGAGACACGGCCCAGACUCCUACGGGAGGCAGCAGUGGGGAAUCUUCCGCAAUAGACGAAAGUCUGACGGAGCAACGCCGCGUGAGUGAUGACGGCCUUCGGGUUGUAAAGCUCUGUUAAUCGGGACGAAAGGCCUUUUUGCGAAUAGUGAGAAGGAUUGACGGUACCGGAAUAGAAAGCCACGGCUAACUACGUG